ACCCUUAUCCUAAUUUAGAGAGUAUGGAAGCCUUGGCAUUCUUUUGCUUGUGGCAGCCGAAAUUAGAGAGAAGGAGAGAGAGAGAAGGAGGAGAAGAAAGGAAGAAGAAGGAGGAGGUCUUAGGGUAUUCAAGGGUGACUAUCACUUGGGUUUUGAUCAAGUUGUGUUCUUGAUUUUACAAUCAAGAGAGGCUCGUUGAGAAGUUGUGGUUUUACUUAGCUUGGACCUGAGGUAGCAAAUAGGUUUCUCUAUGGCACACAUGGUGAUGUUAGGAGUUCUAUCAUCGUGGUGUGUAUGGCGUGGGGGCAUCCUAUGGACGAAAAAUAAUCAAUUAAAAAUGCCAUUUUAUUUAAUACUGUUAUGUUUAAUGAGACCUUUUUAAACUUAUCAGUGGGACUUGAAUUAUUGGUUGUUUUAGAACUUUGCAUAAAAAAAUGAUAUUUUCUUUUAAAAACUAUUGGGCCCAACUUGCAUGUUUGAAGCAAGACCCCACUGAUACCUUUAUAAUAAGUGGCUUUUCUUCUAUAAACCAACGAAAAUGUGAAUGUCUUAUUAAGUACUAGUUAUGGGCAUUUUACAGGAAUAUAUGCAAUUGGUUUUAUAGGUUGUUGUAUGUCUCUGAUUACUGAAGCUGGCUGAGCUAGAUGCUACCUCAAUUGCCUUAGUUCUCUUAACUCCUCUACCUGCCUUCUCAUGUCUUCUUGCAUAACAAUAAACUGCGCCUCCAAUCUCUUG